GUGCCUGAGGGAUGACAGAGUACCUACUUUAUGUUAUCCAUCUCAAUCACUUUGUAGCGAUUUUUCUUUUGGUUUCUUGCUGAUUAUUAGAGGAUGGAAGAUGC